rnacentral:rRNA from 1 species
AGACCCGAAACCCGGUGAUCUAGCCAUGGGCAGGUUGAAGGUUGGGUAACACUAACUGGAGGACCGAACCGACUAAUGUUGAAAAAUUAGCGGAUGACCUGUGGCUGGGGGUGAAAGGCCAAUCAAACCGGGAGAUAGCUGGUUCUCCCCGAAAGCUAUUUAGGUAGCGCCUCGUGAAUUCAUCUCCGGGGGUAGAGCACUGUUUCGGCUAGGGGGCCAUCCCGGCUUACCAACCCGAUGCAAACUGCGAAUACCGGAGAAUGUUAUCACGGGAGACACACGGCGGGUGCUAACGUCCGUCGUGAAGAGGGAAACAACCCAGACCGCCAGCUAAGGUCCCAAAGUCAUGGUUAAGUGGGAAACGAUGUGGGAAGGCCCAGACAGCCAGGAUGUUGGCUUAGAAGCAGCCAUCAUUUAAAGAAAGCGUAAUAGCUCACUGGUCGAGUCGGCCUGCGCGGAAGAUGUAACGGGGCUAAACCAUGCACCGAAGCUGCGGCAGCGAACGUAUCACCCAAGACAACUUUACGGAGUUGACGAUUGACGGAGCGAAGCGACGUCAAAGCGUUCAUUAAAGUCGAGUUGGCUUAGGGAUACGUUCGUUGGGUAGGGGAGCGUUCUGUAAGCCUGUGAAGGUGUGUCGUGAGGCAUGCUGGAGGUAUCAGAAGUGCGAAUGCUGACAUAAGUAACGAUAAAGCG